rnacentral:rRNA from 1 species
CCAAUAGCGUAUAUUAAAGUUGCUGCCGUUAAAAAGCUCGUAGUUGAAUUUCGGGACCAAUAUGUCGGUCGUGCCUCGGUACGUACUGGCAUCGUUGGUUUCUCCCUUCUGACGAACCAUGAUGUCAUUUAUUUGGUGUCGUGGGGAAUCAGGACUGUUACUUUGAAAAAAUUAGAGUGUUUAAAGCAGGCUCACGCUUGAAUACAUUAGCAUGGAAUAAUGAAAUAGGACGUUUGAUUCUAUUUUGUUGGUUUCUAGGAUCGACGUAAUGAUUAAUAGGGAUAGUUGGGGGCAUUAGUAUUCAAUUGUCAGAGGUGAAAUUCUUGGAUUUAUUGAAGACUAACUACUGCGAAAGCAUUUGCCAAGGAUGUUUUCAUUAAUCAAGAACGAAAGUUAGGGGAUCGAAGACGAUCAGAUACCGUCGUAGUCUUAACCAUAAACUAUGCCGACUAGGGAUCGGAUGAUGUUAAUUUUUUAAUGACUCAUUCGGCGCCUUACG